rnacentral:sRNA from 1 species
AAAAAAAACACAAAAAAAUAUCUGAAAGUUUGAACCCUAU